AGCGCUCCCGGCGGGGCGCCCCGCUCUGCGCCGUUCCCUCCGCCGUCGCCCAGCCACCGCCUUUCGCACGCGCCGGAACCGCUUUUGUGGUCUCCGAGACACUCAUUUGCUGUCCUGGUUUCCAAAGCUCCACGUGCUCAGCGCCGAAAACUUGCAAAUCAUUUGCUCAGGUCUAUACUGGGCGCCCGCUGCGUGCCAGGUACUGCCACCGGCUCUCUCCUCACGGUGGAAUAACUUAACAGAGAAGACAGACAUCAAUCAAAUACCCUGGAAACGUGGAAGGCAGGGGAAAGAACAAAGGGAGAGCAAAAUCGCCCCAAUCCCACAUCACCCGCGACGUGAAAGGAUUUGUCCUUCCAGCUGCGGGACUCCUAUUUGUUUAUUUCAAGUCAGAGGCCUUCCCUUUAUGCCCACAUCUGUUCCCGACCCUCUCCUCUGAUUUUCCUCACAUGUAUUUCCUCCCCUCUUCAGCCCCGCGCCAGCUCCAGGCACAGCCGUUCAGGGUGAUGCCAAAGGGAAAUGAGAACGCCUGGUUUCGAGUGCCAGCCUGAGGCCCCUUAAGCCCUAGCCUGGCUCCAAAAACUGCAGCCUGUUUCCCUCAACAAAAAUGACGUCAAGAAUACCUAGAUGUGACCACACCGAACUUGCUUGCCCGUUUUGGGAAACCCAACUUUCUUCCUGAAUAGUCAGAACCUCUGGCUUUCCUGGUCUCUUAAGAACCGCAAACUAUUGAAAAGCAGAUGCGUCUUUCAGCCUCUUUAAUAAAUGCAGUAAGGAGA
rnacentral:lncRNA from 1 species